rnacentral:rRNA from 1 species
AUUGAACGCUGGCGGCAGGCCUAACACAUGCAAGUCGAACGGUAACAGGAAGAAGCUUGCUUCUUUGCUGACGAGUGGCGGACGGGUGAGUAAUGUCUGGGAAACUGCCUGAUGGAGGGGGAUAACUACUGGAAACGGUAGCUAAUACCGCAUAACGUCGCAAGACCAAAGAGGGGGACCUUCGGCCUCUUGCCAUCGGAUGUGCCCAGAUGGGAUUAGCUAGUAGGGGGGUAACGGCUCACCUAGGCGACGAUCCCUAGCUGGUCUGAGAGGAUGACCAGCCACACUGGAACUGAGACACGGUCCAGACUCCUACGGGAGGCAGCAGUGGGAAUAUUGCACAAUGGGCGCAAGCCUGAUGCAGCCAUG